AGGGAAGGGACUAGAGGGACGUCAAUUUGUGUUGUUCUUGUUGUUGAAAACCAAUAAAAUAUUAUUAUUUUUUAAAAAGGGAAUGUGAGGGCUUUGGAACCUGAGCAUUCAAAAGCCUCCUCUGAUAGGAUCUUUUUCCCCAUACAAACGUUAUCCCAGUGAACCUCUUGAGCCUCUCUAAAAUUAAAACUCCAGGAAAGUGUAAUACUAGAGCAAGAUCAAACAUAAGAAGUUGUUACAGCUAUAUACAACCUAACAACAACUUAUUAUUAUUAUUAUUACCCCGCCCAUCUGGCUGGGUUUCCCCAGCCACUCUGGGCGGCUUCCAACAGAAUAAUAAUAAUAAUAAUAAUAAUAAAGCGAUAAAACAUCAAACAUUAAAAACUUCCCUAAACAGAGCUGCCUUCAGAUGUCUUCUAAAAGUCAGAUAGUUGUUUAUUUCCUUGACAUCUGAUGGGAGGGCGUUCCACAGGGUGGGUGCCACUACUGAGAAAGCCCUCUGCCUGGUUCCUUCCAUCCAGAGAUUUCAAAGAGGAGCCUACAAGAGGUUUUGGGCAGCCUCCCAUUCACUCAAAGGUCCAGAGACACACCUUCUUAGCUUCAGCAAGGUUGUUAUAUAUAAUGUGUUGUCAGAACACACCAUGGGAAUUUAGUGUCUGAAACUGUUUGGGAGCCAUCUUAAUUGCCACAGCAUUUGUUCUUUUCCAUCAGAUGCAAGGUAAUAAUUGGACCAUCUUUGUGGAUUGUAAAGGGAAU